AGCAACCCACAGAUUUUUAGACCGGGGGCAUCUACCGCAUGGAGGAAAUUAGGAGGAACCAACGAGCGAAGAUUCAGCUUUCGCUCUGCAGGGCAGCAGGACUUUGCUACGUGGCUAAAAGCAGCAGCAGCACCGACGCUAUUAGCCCGAAGCGCGGCGGGGAAGCGGGAUAAAUGCUUCGGAAGCGGCGGGAGAAGUUCAACUCGCCAGGCUUCGUCCUUCGGAAGCCAAGCCGCCUUCCAGCCGCUCCUUCCCGCCACCCAACCGGGGCUUUGCCGAGAGAGUAAGGGGAGCCCUCCACUUACUUUCCCCGGGGUCCCGAGCUUGGGAAGUCCACGCUCGCUGCUUCAGCCCAAUGGCCCGGAUAGAGCCCGAGCCCGGCGGGAGCGCCUCGCCAGCAGCCGCGCCGUUUUCUCGGCCGCAGGGGAACUGAGAGCGCGCCCGAGGGGAACCAGCCAGCCUCCUGCCCAGCGCCCGUCCUGCUCCCUCGCAGAGAGGAACUUGGGCGGCUUUCGCAGCCUGUCGGGGGCUGAGGCUUCGCCGCUCACUUCCUGGUCCCGGGAAAUUUGCAUAGCAGGUCGGGAAGGUGGCCGGCCGGCGAGGGGGGGGGGAAUCUUUCUUGGAAACCGAAAGGCGGGUCCCGGCAGGAGGGCGACGAGGCGCUCCAAGGGCAGGGGCAGCGCGGACACACCCGCUCCGAGAGCGGGAGAACUCGCUCGCUCUUUCUCGCUCUCGCAGCCGGGGCCCUUGAGGGCAGCCGGCCCCACGGCGCGAAGGGGGCGGAGGGGAGGGGACUCGGUCCGCGGCUCCGAGCUCGGUCAUCCCAAGGAAAGCAGCUGCGCGCCUUCCUUGUGGGUGGGGAGUAAUUAUUCUGACCGAAGCAACCCGGUGCGUGAGGGGAUAAAAAUAGCUAAGCCAAGUGGACUCUGGUCCCAGCUCUGCCCCUUCACGAGCCUCCAUCGGGGCCUAGUCUGCCCCCAAGAAGCCUGCCCAACUCUGGCUCGCGUGGUCCUGGGCAAAUCAGGGCCUUCCGGCCUUUAG
rnacentral:lncRNA from 1 species